rnacentral:rRNA from 1 species
CAAAAGGGUGAAAGUCGGCCACUGGAACAAGCCGACGUUCGGGGAUGGGCCUGCGUCCUAUCAGCUGGUUGGUAGGGUAACGGCCUACCAAGGCGACGACGGGUAGCUGGUCUGAGAGGAUGAUCAGCCACACUGGCACUGGAACACGGGCCAGACUCCUACGGGAGGCAGCAGUGAGGAAUUUUGCGCAAUGGCCGCAAGGCUGACGCAGCAACGCCGCGUGGGUGAAGAAGGCCUUCGGGUCGUAAAGCCCUGUCAGGUGGGAAGAACGACACGGGGAGGAAUAUGCUCUGUGAGUGACGGUACCACCAGAGGAAGCACCGGCUAACUCCGUGCCAGCAGCCGCGGUAAUACGGAGGGUGCGAGCGUUAUUCGGAAUUACUGGGCGUAAAGCGCGUGUAGGCGGCCAACCAAGUCUGAUGUGAAAGCCCUGGGCUUAACCUGGGAAGUGCAUUGGAAACUGGCUGGCUUGAGUACUGGAGAGGAAGGGGGAAUUCCCGGUGUAGAGGUGAAAUUCGUAGAGAUCGGGAGGAAUACCAGUGGCGAAGGCGCCCUUCUGGACGGUUACUGACGCUGAGACGCGAAAGCGUGGGGAGCAAACAGGAUUAGAUACCCUGGUAGUCCACGCUGUAAACGAUGAGCACUAGGUGUAGCGGGUACUCAUUCCUGCUGUGCCGUAGCUAACGCGUUAAGUGCUCCGCCUGGGGAUUACGGUCGCAAGACUAAAACUCAAAUGAAUUGACGGAAUCCCGCGGCCA